CCCCCCCCCCCCAAAAAAAAAUAGUAAAACACAACAGAAAACUCCAAUAAAGGCACAGUUCAAUUGAAUUUUCAGGUUAAUUUCAAGUUUUAGUGAUUGAAGUGCAUCUUCUAGAUUAGGGUUCGAUUAUUGGUUUUUUCUGAAGUUCCUGGGUUAAUUUCGAGUGUAAUUGGAUUUCAACAAAGCUGUUUUAGGUUGUUUCAGUAGUUGCUGUCCAUCAGUCAUUAUUCCUGGUUCAAAUUUAGUCCAAGCUAUUUGCUGGUGGUUGAUUUUGCUGUUGAAACUGCAUCAGCUGCUGCGUUUCUGUUUGGCUGACCUAUAUUUCUCCACAUUUUUGUUUAAAUCUCCAAGCACACGUUUGAAUCUCCUUGCUGUAAUUCAGAGCUUGAAAGUGGAAUAAAAAUAUUCAACUAUUUGCUCUUGAACCAUGCUUGCCCGGGCUGUGAUGUGUUAGUAGAUUGAUAGGUGUUAGUUAAAUGUGUAACUACUUAGUUUGUAUUAACAUGACACAAUAGGCCGUGGGUUGUAUAAUCAUGGACUGUUUUGAUGUCAAUUUGGAAUGUUAUGAGGUUAUGAAUCCAUAUCGAACUGCUGUGUAUAAUUUGGAGUAUUGCUUGUAUCAGUUUUCACUGUUAAGCACUAGCAUAAAUACAUAAAUUGAUUUCAAAUCUUCAUUUAGGACUGGAUAUAUAUAAAUAGGACUGGAUUCGAACUAUAUGAACAUUAUAAAUGUGAUGCCAAUUGUAAAUAGCCUCAUUUGAAUAAUUGUAGUUUGUACUACAGGUGCUUAUUCAAUAGUAUUGGC
rnacentral:lncRNA from 1 species